rnacentral:rRNA from 1 species
AACGUAGGUUCGAGCCGUUAUCCGGAUUUACUGGGCGUAAGCGCGUUCAGGCGGUUUGGCAAGUCGGGCAUGAAUCUCUCGGCUCAACCGGGAGAGGUUGUCCGAAUGACUGCUGGACUUGAGGGCAGUGAGAGGGUGGUGGUAAUUCGGGUGUAGUGGUGAAAUGCGUAGAUAUCCGGAGGAACACCAGUGGCGAAAGCGGUCCACUGGGCAACUUCUGACGCUGAGGUGCGAAAGCUAGGGUAGCAAACGGG